AUGAUUAUGACGAAAUUGGUAAACGUGUUUAGUUAAGGACUAAAAUUUUAUUGGUUCAAGUCCAAUUAAUCAUA
rfam:Pichia kudriavzevii strain SD108 scaffold00057, whole genome shotgun sequence.